UAAACCCGUUAUAUGCAUUCGUCCUCACAUCAGCCCUGUGAAGUCGCCACUAUGAUCAUCCUCAGUUUUCAGAGGCAGAUGCUGAGGUUCAGAAAGGCAAAGCGACUUGCCUGCAGUCACAGGCAAGAGGAGCUGGGCCUAUCUUGCCACCAGGAGGGGUGAGCCUGCUUGAGAAUGAAGCCAACUCAAAGAAAGCAGAGCUAAAGGCUGGAGAGAGACAGAUGCCUGAUAACAUCAAUUUAACGCCUAUAUUUACCCUUUCCUGAAGCCACGUUCUGCCAAUGGGAACCCUCGCUUGAGGAAGGUGGGAGGAAGGUAAAAGUCGCUCUGCUUUUGGCAGUGUCUCUGGCGACCGCAGCAGCAGUGGUUCCAACCUAGCAAACGUGGAGGCUGUUCCAGCAGCAUCAACAAUACAAACUCCAGCUGCAUCAGCAGCCAGUGCAGAUGUGUGGGUUCUACCUCCUUGAUCUUUGGGCAAUGCCUUUUCUCCCUUUUGCUCCUCUAAGCCAAGAUUAGUGGUGGUUUCCUGGUCUCUGGGUAAUGCUUCUUUCCCUCUUA